rnacentral:rRNA from 1 species
AUUGAACGCUGGCGGCAUGCCUUACACAUGCAAGUCGAACGGUAACAGGUCUUCGGGUGCUGACGAGUGGCGAACGGGUGAGUAAUACAUCGGAACGUGCCUAGUAGUGGGGGAUAACUACUCGAAAGAGUGGCUAAUACCGCAUGAGAUCUACGGAUGAAAGCAGGGGAUCGCAAGACCUUGUGCUACUAGAGCGGCCGAUGGCAGAUUAGGUAGUUGGUGGGAUAAAAGCUUACAAAGCCGACGAUCUGUAGCUGGUCUGAGAGGACGAUCAGCCACACUGGGACUGAGACACGGCCCAGACUCCUACGGGAGGCAGCAGUGGGGAAUUUUGGACAAUGGGCGCAAGCCUGAUCCAGCAAUGCCGCGUGCAGGAUGAAGGCCUUCGGGUUGUAAACUGCUUUUGUACGGAACGAAAAGCCCUGGGUUAAUACCCUGGGGUCAUGACGGUACCGUAAGAAUAAGCACCGGCUAACUACGUGCCAGCCGCCGCGGUAAGAC